rnacentral:tRNA from 1 species
GCCGGAGUAGCUCAGUUGGCAGAGCAUCGCUCUUGUAAAGCGAAGGUCGUCGGUUCGAGCCCGACCUCCGGCU